rnacentral:rRNA from 1 species
AGUGAACGCUGGCGGUAGGCCUAACACAUGCAAGUCGAACGGCAGCACAGUAAGAGCUUGCUCUUACGGGUGGCGAGUGGCGGACGGGUGAGGAAUACAUCGGAAUCUACUUUUUCGUGGGGGAUAACGUAGGGAAACUUACGCUAAUACCGCAUACGACCUACGGGUGAAAGCAGGGGAUCUUCGGACCUUGCGCGAUUGAAUGAGCCGAUGUCGGUUUAGCUAGUUGGCGGGGUAAAGGCCCACCAAGGCGACGAUCCGUAGCUGGUCUGAGAGGAUGAUCGGCCACACGGAACCUGAGCCACGUUCCAGCCUCCUACGGGAGGCAGCAGUGGGGAAUAUUGGACAAUGGGCGCAAGCCUGAUCCAGCCAUCCCGCGUGGGUGAAGAAGGCCUUCGGGUUGUAAAGCCCUUUUGUUGGGAAAGAAAAGCAGCAGGUUAAUACCCCGCUGUUCUGACGGUACCCAAAGAAUAAGCACCGGCUAACUUCGU